AACCGCUCGGCGGGCCCGCAAAGGGGCCUCAGCAGCGCGGUGGCCCCGCAGAGCGUAGGGACCCAGGGUGGGGGUGCGAGGAGAGGCGCGCGCCCCAGCGGCCGUCGGGGGCGGAGGGGGAGGGGAGAGAGCCGGUCAAGGAGGGGCCCUCCCGCGCGCGCGUCCUCCGCGCGCCCCCACCCCGUGUGGCGCCGGGCUCUCCACGCCCAGACCCUGCUACUCCACUGGGGUCCUACCCCGGCCCCUAGUCCGGGGAUUGGCGCACCGCGGGAGGUAGGGAGCCGCCCCGCCCCCCUGUCAACAGAAGCCCCGCCCCAGGCUGCGGAAGCUCCGCCCCCUGUCAGGAGAAGCCCGGCCUUCCCAGGGCUCGAAAUGGCCCCGCCCUUUGCCGGCGAUCGCUCCGCCCACUGUCGACGGACGCCUAGUCUUCUCUCGGGUCAGCACAGACGGCAGUCCCGCCUUCCUUGCGCUCCGCCUUCCUAAUGUCACUGCUGGAUCGUGAGAGACUUCUUUCCGAGUCGAGGGCUUCACAUCCCGACGGCUUCCAGGGAACCAGCCCUGCAGCGGGGUCAGCGAGUGCCCGGGCUUUCGGGAACACCGCCCAGCGUCGCCGCCCCUCUCCACUCACUUUCCCUUUCCCCCGCACCGCCGUCAGAACGAGGAGGAACAGAACCAAAGCGGAGAGCGGCAACUCACCCUCCAGCCGCUCCACACCCGGGCCCUGGACGCUCGAGCGCUCCUGGGCCCCUUGACGUUCACUCCCCACCCCCAUCCCAGUUGCGGACCCUUUGUGCAGAGCUCUGCUGAGCCACAUUAAUCCUAAAAGCACAGCAGAGCUCCGCUGAGCCACAUUAAUCCUAAAAGAUGCAGUUGUUUCAAGUGGAAAUAUGAUUUUUUUUUUUUUUUUUUGAGACGGAGUCUCGUGCUGUCGCUCAGGCUGAAGUGCAAUGGCGCGAUCUCGGCUCACUGCAACCUCCGCUUCCCAGGUUCAAGCGUUUCUUCUGCCUCAGCCUCCCGAGUAGCUGGGAUUACAGGCGCCCAUCACCUGACGCCGGGCUAAUUUUUGUAUUUUUAGUAGAGACGGUUUCCCCAUGUUGGCCAGGCUGGUCUCGAACUCCUGACCUCAAGUGAUCCGCCUGCCUCGGCCCCCCAAAGUGCUGGGAUUACAGGAGUGAGAUACCGCGCCUGCCCGUGGAAUCUGUUGAAAUCAGUGUUCUACAACGUUCUUUUUAUUUAUAGGUUUCAUCUUAGAAUCCUAAAACUUGUGUAGGAUGAGGCUUAAUCUUAUAAGCAAAGGUAUUCAACCCUGCCACAUUCCACGCCCUGUAUUUACAACAAAAAAUAUAACACUGCUUUACUCCUCUGAAAUUAAAUUCCUAAUGCAUACUAUCUCUACAAAUGAUUUCGAGAAACCAAUGUAAUGUUCUAAUAAAGAUG
rnacentral:lncRNA from 1 species